GCAGACAACUCCCGCUCAAUAGAAACCAGUUCGAGGUUCACAACAUCACUCUUGCCUAAGGGUCCCUCGAGUUCUAUCAUCUCCUCUUCUUUUCGCUUUUCACCGGCCUAAAGAAACAACAAAGAAGCACCAAGUAUAUUUAAGAUUCAUUGGUUUGAGAACAAAAAGGAGCUAAAAUUUCUCAUAUAUUCUCCUGCAAUGACAUUUUAGAGAGAACGCCAAAAUAAGGAAGGUGCUAAUCAGCAAAGCUACAAACUGAGAACCAAAAAGAAAAAAGAUUUGAUGCCUGUAUAUCCUAAUCUCUCCGCUAAUGCAGACAACAAGAAUCAAUCAUGGCUCUCCUUUUGUCCUUUGCAUGUGACCAGGUCUGGCUAGAGAUGGAGUUCUAGGUUAAAGCCCUUAGUUAAUUUAUGAUCUGAAUCAGUUAAAGUGUGCUAUAAAAUUGGUCCCCUUUGCUUCGAGUCCUAUGUCAUGGUUUGAUCAAUUGGAAAUUCAUCCAGAUGUUAGCUGAUUGAAAGAAAACAUUACACUAAUUUCAAUCCUGAAUGGUACACUUGAUGAGAAUGACAGUUAUUUCUUUAUCAAAAAGAAAGAAUAAAAAAGAGAAGGACAAUCAUUUAAGGAAAUGAACAAAAUGUAGAUUAUAAAAAAUGUCAUGUAAGGAGUGACAUACUAGUAUAACUGAAAAAAGUAAAUUCAAUGUGCUUACACUAUUCUGAUAUGUAUUCUCUUCUUUUGGUUGAUGAUUCAUUUCUACACUUAAUUGUACAUUGAAAACCCAAUAUUUCAGCAACAUGAGAAUCUCUAAGGAGAGUAAUAUGGCCCAUGACAAAAUAAUUUACAGCGAAUUAUACGUCUAACUAAGCGAAAGGAAGAUAUUAACAGUUCCAAAAAUAGGACUGACUGAAGUAAAGCAAAGGAACACCACCACCACCCACAAAAUAGGGUGGGGAAAAAGAAGAGGAAAGCUCCAGCACCUCAAUUUCAUCCUCGAACAUAAGCCAAAGGAAUAAGAGAAGAAGACAAAGGAAAAGUCAUAUGUAAACUCCAGGUAAACAUACAACAAGAUAGCACACGAAAGCUUAACAGUCACUUCUUGGAGAGACAGCACAGAAAAGGGUGAAGUUUACCAAUAGUUGCUAGCCAGCAUAAGAACCAUCUAAUUAUUAAUAAUCUUAUAAAUAGUUUUAUUUGGACAUUGCCACCUGGAAACAUGCUACAUCAGUACCUGAGUUUAGAUUUGAUUAAACCAGGGAUAUUGUGACCAAAGUGUGAUAGCGUCUAACCAAGAGUUCCCACAUUAUGAGUGCAUGUGCUUAAUUUAGUCCACCACAUCAACACAUGUAAGUGAUGCUAGAUAUAAAAGAGUUCACAUAUCUUAUUUGACAAAUGGAUAAAGAAGCUACCCUGAGAGAUUCAAGUAGGUAGUUGUGGUAUAAAGGUGCUGACGAGAAACUCUAUAAUUAAUAAGCAUCUUAAAGAGAACGAGAGUUAAUACUGUUGUGUAUACAAAACACUAAGUCGGUUAGAAAAAGGCUGUAGAGAUUAGUAAAAAGAAGUUACAAUUUAAGGUAUUGCCGGUUAUAUAAAGAUUAGGAUUGUAGAGAAGAUUAUAGUAGAGCCAUGCCUUUAAUGAAAUCUAUUGUUUUAAAAAAACGGAAAGUAAACAUAAGCUGACCCGAACACCAUGUCAUUAAACAAUACUAUCUAGCAACCAACUUUUACAUUUGUUCAAGAAGACACAAAUCCCUUUGGUGGAUAUUUCACAUAAGCCGACAAAUCAUAUCUGACCCAAAUCCCUUUGGCCGGAGAAUCGACAUCUCCAACCAAACCCAUCGUUUUCUCCUUAAAGAAAAACACCAUUAAAGUGAGCUUCAAGCUCUAACCAUGAGCAAACAAUAGAGCUCCAACGAGCUCACUGAUUCGCACAACCUCCGACAAACAGCAACCAAAUAGAUCCGACCACCACGAGAUCCAGAAGCCACCCACAACGCAUCCGACAAACCCCCAACCCACGCACCUCACUCAUCUGGAAAAACAGCCAGCAAACAACCCCAAGCUCCAAGUUUUGGUGAACCAGAUCAAAACUCCAUGAGACAGCCUCCACAUAGCUCUCUUGUGAGCUCUGAGCUCCAUUUCCAGUGAGGUUUGAGUUUUCACUUCUAAAUCUAAUUAAAAUUGAUGUUGUUUUACUUUGUUUUUGCUCUUCUUGUUGCUAUGUUCAGCUGCGUUUCAGAUCUCAAAUGUUAUCUCAUUUUAGAUCUGGCCGGAACGGUUCAAACUCCGGCCACCUUGGGUCGGAUAUGAUUUACUGGUCGGAUAUCCUAUUUAAAAGAGGUGUAUUUAUUUUUUAAUAUAAAUGUCGUGUGGCAAUUAAAAGGGGAUGUGUCAUUUCCAUUUGUUAUUUGAAGAAAGGGAAAUGAGUUGGUUAUUUCCAGCAAAGCAACUAAUGUCUACAAGGGCAUAUAUAUCUGAAAAGUUGGACCGCGAGGGCACGGGUGAGUCAAACUUCAAACGGUGUAUAUUUAGACAUUUUCGUAUAAUUUAGGGGCAUAUUUGACCCUUAUCCGUAUAUUUUAAGAAAUAAAUCUAUUUAUUUGCUUUAUAUUAACAGCAGAAAUCACCUCAAUGCAUAGAGGGCUUGAGUGAGCUAUGAACUGAGAUUGUUACUUAGUAUUAAGUGGAAAUCAAAUUGUAAGAAGAGAAGUCUCAUCUCAAGUGUUGAAUUCCCAUGAGAGAAAGCUCAAUCACAAUAAAUAUUAAGUUCUUACAUUUUUACAGUUCUGAGAAUAUUAUUUCCCUUUCGUGUUUCAUAAAACAAAAAAUUAACCGGGAUCCGACACGUCUUGACAUUCAUGCAUAUUGACAUCUUUAACCCUUC